rnacentral:rRNA from 1 species
UGGGGAAUUUUGGACAAUGGGCGAAAGCCUGAUCCAGCAAUGCCGCGUGUGUGAAGAAGGCCUUCGGGUUGUAAAGCACUUUUGUCCGGAAAGAAAUCCUUGGCUCUAAUACAGUCGGGGGAUGACGGUACCGGAAGAAUAAGCACCGGCUAACUACGUGCCAGCAGCCGCGGUAAUACGUAGGGUGCAAGCGUUAAUCGGAAUUACUGGGCGUAAAGCGUGCGCAGGCGGUUUGCUAAGACCGAUGUGAAAUCCCCGGGCUCAACCUGGGAACUGCAUUGGUGACUGGCAGGCCAGAGUAUGGCAGAGGGGGGUAGAAUUCCACGUGUAGCAGUGAAAUGCGUAGAGAUGUGGAGGAAUACCGAUGGCGAAGGCAGCCCCCUGGGCCAAUACUGACGCUCAUGCACGAAAGCGUGGGGAGCAAACAGGAUUAGAUACCCUGGUAGUCCACGCCCUAAACGAUGUCAACUAGUUGUUGGGGAUUCAUUUCCUUAGUAACGUAGCUAACGCGUGAAGUUGACCGCCUGGGGAGUACGGUCGCAAGAUUAAAACUCAAAGGAAUUGACGGGGUCAUAGCUGUUUCCU